rnacentral:rRNA from 1 species
GACGUAGGAGGCGAGCGUUGUCCGGAGUUACUGGGCGUAAAGCGCGCGCAGGCGGCCCUGUGCGCUGCCGGUGAAAGCUCCCCGGCUUACCUGGGAGAGGUUCGGCAGGACGGCAGGGCUGGAGGGUGGGAGAGGUCGGUGGAAUUCCCGGUGGUAGUGGUGAAAUGCGUAGAGAUCGGGAGGAACACCCGUAGCGAAGGCGGCCGACUGGACCACACCUGACGCUGAGGCGCGAAGGCCAGGGGAGCGAACGGG